CCUCCUUUCUAAGGAUGAGUGAAAGUAAAAUUUCACUCUAAAUAAUAUACAUCGGUAAUGUUGACCGUCCUCAUUUCUCUUCUUAAAGUAAUGUUUCCUUCUUGUAGGGCCGGUAGCUCAGUUGGUUAGAGCACACCCUUGAUAAGGGUGGGGUCAAAAGUUCGAGUCUUUCUCGGCCCACCAAAAACCUAAAUGGGGGAUUAGCUCAUCUGGGAGAGCGCCUGAUUUGCAUUCAGGAGGUAGCAGGUUCGAUCCCUGUAUCCUCCACCAGGAAACAUUUAGUUAUUAAAACUGUAAAUAAAAAUAAUUUAUAUCAAUAUCUAUAUCCGAACAUUAAAAGUUAUUAUUUAAUGUUCAAAAUAAAAAUUUGAUCACAACACAGAUUAAAUUUCUUUAAAAAGAAUUUUUUUCUGUGCAUAAUCAAGCGUUUAAGGGCGUGUAGUGGAUGCCUGGGCACUGAAAGCCGAUGAAGGACGUGAUA
rnacentral:tRNA from 1 species